rnacentral:rRNA from 1 species
AACGAACGCUGGCGGCAUGCCUAACACAUGCAAGUCGAACGAGACCUUCGGGUCUAGUGGCGCACGGGUUCGUAACGCGUGGGAACCUGCCCUUAGGUUCGGAAUAACUCCCCGACAGGGGUGCUAAUACCGGAUCAUGUCUUCGGACCAAAGAUUUAUCGCCUUUGGAUGGGCCCGCGUUGGAUUAGCUAGUUGGUAGGGUAAAAGCCUACCAAGGCGCCGAUCCAUAGCUGGUCUGAGAGGAUGAUCAGCCACACUGGGACUGGGACACGGCCCAGACUCCUACGGGAGGCAGCAGUGGGGAAUAGUGGACAAUGGGCGAAAGCCUGAUCCAGCAAGGCCGCGUGAGUGAUGAAGGCCUUAGGGUUGUAAAGCUCUUUUAACCGGGAUGAUAAUGACAGUACCGGGAGAAUAAGCGCCGGCUAACUCCGUG